UACGGAAGGCAGCAGUGGGGAAUAUUGCACAAUGGGCGCAAGCCUGAUGCAGCCAUGCCGCGUGUAUGAAAAAGGCCUUCGGGUUGUAAAGUACUUUCAGUCGUGAGGAAGGUGUUAAGGUUAAUAACCUUAGCAAUUGACGUUAGCGACAGAAGAAGCACCGGCUAACUCCGUGCCAGCAGCCGCGGUAAUACGGAGGGUGCGAGCGUUAAUCGGAAUUACUGGGCGUAAAGGGCACGCAGGCGGUUAAUUAAGUUGGAUGUGAAAUCCCCGGGCUUAACCUGGGAAUGGCAUUCAAGACUGGUUAGCUAGAGUCUUGUAGAGGGGGUAGAAUUCCAUGUGUAGCGGUGAAAUGCGUAGAGAUGUGGAGGAAUACCGGUGGCGAAGGGCGGGCCCCUGGACAAAGACUGACGCUCAUGUGCGAAAGCGUGGGGAGCAAACAGGGAUUAGAUACC
rnacentral:rRNA from 1 species